rnacentral:rRNA from 1 species
GACGAACGCUGGCGGCGUGCUUAACACAUGCAAGUCGAACGAUGAACCCGGAGCUUGCUCCGGCGGAUUAGUGGCGAACGGGUGAGUAACACGUGAAUAACCUGCCCUUGACUCUGGGAUAACUGCUAGAAAUGGUAGCUAAUACCGGAUACGACCCUCGGUGGCAUCACCAGGGGGUGGAAAGAAUUUCGGUCAAGGAUGGACUCGCGGCCUAUCAGCUAGUUGGUGAGGUAACGGCUCACCAAGGCGACGACGGGUAGCCGGCCUGAGAGGGUGACCGGCCUCACUGGGACUGAGACACGGCCCAGACUCCUACGGGAGGCAGCAGUGGGGAAUAUUGCACAAUGGGCGCAAGCUUGAUGCAGCAACGCCGCGUGAGGGAUGACGGCCUUCGGGUUGUAAACCUCUUCUAGUAGGGAAGAAGCGAAAGUGACGGUACCUGCAGAAAAAGCACCGGCUAACUACGUGCCAGCAGCCGCGGUAA